rnacentral:rRNA from 1 species
AUGGUGACCAGCGGCAGUGGGCAGUUCAAGAGUGCAGGCCCCGUGUGGGGCCCGAGGCAGUACAUCCUGGCGGCCACCGCCGUGAGCGCCGUGGCCGUGGUGACCACCGUCGUCCUCAGCCCCGCACGCAUCGCCUUCUCCGUCACCGGCGCCUCCAUCAGCACUGUCGAGGGAGCGUCGUUGGUGGCCCUGAACUUCACCCUCCAUGCGGCCAACCCUAGCCGCCGCGCCGGGGUGGAGUACAGCUCCGUCACGACCAGGCUGCAGCUCUACAGCGCGAGCCACGCGGCGGCCGCGUGGCUGAAGACGGACGUCCACCAGGCCAUGCCGCUCCUGCAGCCGCCGGCGAGCUCGUGCAGCCUCCGCGCGUCGGUCCUGUUCGACUGCAAGGAAUUGGGGUGCUGCGGGCGCGCGCCUCCGAUGACCGUGCUGGUGCUCGCCCAGGUCCGGUUCAAGGUCGGGUUGGCCUACUCCCGCCAGUACGAUGUCCAGGUCUCUUGCCAGCCCGUCGACUUCUUCGCCGCCACCGCCGCCGUUGCAAGGGUUGUAUGCGUUGCCUGA